UAAUACGGAGGGAGCAAGUGUUGUCCGGAAUCACUGGGCGUAAAGGGGGUCUAGGUGGGUUCCUAAGUCAGAUGUGAAAAUUCCUGGCUUAACCCGGAACGUGCAUCUGAUACUGGGAAUCUUGAGCACGGUAGAGGAGAGUGGAACUCUCAGUGUAGCGGUGGAAUGCGUAGAUAUUGAGAGGAACACCAUUGGCGAAGGCAGCUCUCUGGGCCGUUGCUGACACUAAAGCCCGAAAGCUGGGGUAGCGAACAGGAUUAGAUACCCCGGUAGUCCUAGCCGUAAACGAUGGGCACUAGAUGUUUUCGCUUUAAGCGGGAGUGUCGAAGUUAACGCGUUAAGUGCCCCGCCUGGGGAGUACGGUCGCAAGGCUG
rnacentral:rRNA from 1 species